rnacentral:rRNA from 1 species
UUAAGAAGUGCGGAACGGUUAAGUAAUGUUUGGGAAAUGGCCCAAUGAAGGGGAAUAACUAUUGGAACCGGUAGUUAAUCCGGCAUAAGGUGGCAAGACCAAAGAGGGGGACCUUCGGGCCUCUUGCCAUCGGAUGUGCCCAGAUGGGAUUAGCUUGUUGGUGAGGUAACGGCUCACCAAGGCGACGAUCCCUAGCUGGUCUGAGAGGAUGACCAGCCACACUGGAACUGAGACACGGUCCAGACUCCUACGGGAGGCAGCAGUGGGGAAUAUUGCACAAUGGGCGCAAGCCUGAUGCAGCCAUGCCGCGUGUAUGAAGAAGGCCUUCGGGUUGUAAAGUACUUUCAGCGGGGAGGAAGGGGUUAAGGUUAAUAACCUUAGCCAUUGACGUUACCCGCANAAGAAGCACCGGCUAA